AUUGAACGCUGCGGCAGGCUUAACACAUGCAAGUCGAGCGUGCGGCGGACGGGUGAGUAAUGCUUAGGUAUCUGCCUAUUAGUGGGGGAUAACAUCUCGAAAGGGAUGCUAAUACCGCCUACUAAUAGAUUAGCCUAAGUCGGAUGCGCUAGUUGGUGGGGUAAAGGCCUACCAAGGCGACGAACUGUAGCGGGUCUGAGGGGAUGAUCCGCCACAGUGGGACAGGGGCACAGGCGAAAGUGAGACGGGAGGCAGCAGUGGGGAAAGGUGGACAAUGGGGGGAAGCCUGAUAGAGCCAUGCCGGGGGUGGGAAGAAGGCAUUAAGGUUGUAAAAAACUUUAAGCGAGGAGGCGUUACUCGCAGAUUAAGCACCGGCUAACGCUGUGCCAGCAGCCGCGGUAAUAC
rnacentral:rRNA from 1 species